AUGGCACCGCUCCCCCUCCUCCUUCUGCUCCUGGUCGCCGGCGCGGCCGCCACCGACCAGAUCUUCACCACCUCAGGUGUGCCGUUCAGGAAGAACUCAUGGGAGCCGAGGUACCGCGUGGAGUUCCACCCCGUCGAUUCGCCUUACCAACCGGAGAACGGCCAGGAGUCUGAACAAAUGACUGACCCCGAGGGGAGACAGUACACCUGCAACCUACCAGCGGAAGAAACCAAGACCAUGAAGUCGAUUGUCCCACAGAAUGCAACUAAUGUUAUUAUAGAAAGCGAACGGAAAGUUAAGCCAAAGGAACCAGAUGAACUGCUCGAGGUUCUCAAAGACAAGUUGGUGGUCUAUGAAUUCUGCUAUAAUGGGAAAAUCCGACAUGUUCAUGUAGAGAAUGAGAAGGUUAUCCAAGAGUAUGUUCUAGGCGAAUAUGACCCUGAUGCAACCGAUGCUUACCAUGACAAUCACACCUCCGAGUCUACUAAUGAGGAUCACGUGAAAGAUACUUCUAAGAGCGUUCAUGUGUUCUUGAGCUAUCUACGGGGUGUAACUUGCCCAAAAGAUCCGAAUCCUUCUCCUGCUUGCCUCGGGCAUCCUUUUAUAGGCAAAAGGGGUUGCCAUAGUGGCACACAAGAGGUGAAAAGCGCCAUGUUGGCUGGCUGCUGGGCUGGCGCGGUGGUGGAGUCUACACGAAGAUCUACAUGCCACCACGCGGUGGAGGCGGGAAACCGGGCCGUCGCUGAUUGGAGCAGCGGGUCGGUCCCGAUUCCCUGCGCCCCCGACGGCCAGAUUGGUUGA
rnacentral:rRNA from 1 species